rnacentral:other from 1 species
UAGGUUCUGCCAUGUGCGUGAUGGUUAAAAAUUUUGACCAACACUUACACAUAGGGAGCCUGGACUCUACUUGCGGCGUAAAAGCCUUAAAUGGACUUACAAACCGAGUAGGAGGGCACCCACCUGGCAGACAGGGAUCAAAAUUUAAAAUCCACACGGCAUGGCGGGACUUUA